rnacentral:rRNA from 1 species
GACGAACGCUGGCGGCGUGCUUAACACAUGCAAGUCGAACGGAAAGGCCCUGCUUUUGUGGGGUGCUCGAGUGGCGAACGGGUGAGUAACACGUGAGUAACCUGCCCUUGACUUUGGGAUAACUUCAGGAAACUGGGGCUAAUACCGGAUAGGAGCUCCUGCUGCAUGGUGGGGGUUGGAAAGUUUCGGCGGUUGGGGAUGGACUCGCGGCUUAUCAGCUUGUUGGUGGGGUAGUGGCUUACCAAGGCUUUGACGGGUAGCCGGCCUGAGAGGGUGACCGGCGACAUUGGGACUGAGAUACGGCCCAGACUCCUACGGGAGGCAGCAGUGGCGAAUAUUGCACAAUGGGCGGAAGCCUGAUGCAGCAACGCCGCGUGCGGGAUGACGGCCUUCGGGUUGUAAACCGCUUUCGCCUGUGACGAAGCGUGAGUGACGGUAAUGGGUAAAGAAGCACCGGCUAACUACGUG